rnacentral:rRNA from 1 species
AUGAAAUCUCUACGACAUGGUUCAGCAUCAUCUGGCAUAAAUAGUCAGCAGUCUUUGGAAUGUUCUUGCCCUUAUCUAUCUGAUGAUCAAUCAUCCAUACAAGCAGAAGCCAUAGGUGAAACAGUUACUGAAGAUGUUUACUCUCUGAUUGCCGUCCAGCAACAGAAUGCACUUUUCUGCUGGCAGCUCAAAGAAUCUCAAGACCAUAUGCACACGUCAUACUUCUUCUAUAGCUCUGCUUCCUGUAGCAGCGCACAAAUGUAUUUCAUCUCCUCUUCAAAUAUCUGGCUCUUGAUGGAUCUCCUCACAACUAGGUUAUGUUUGGCAGUCAAAUUUUCAACAAAAACCAAGUCUGCAUAA